GACGAACGCUGGCGGCGUGCUUAACACAUGCAAGUCGAACGGAAAGGCCCUGCUUUUGUGGGGUGCUCGAGUGGCGAACGGGUGAGUAACACGUGAGUAACCUGCCCUUGACUUUGUGAUAACUUCAGGAAACUGGGGCUAAUACCGGAUAGGAGCUCCUGCUGCAUGGUGGGGGUUGGAAAGUUUCGGCGGUUGGGGAUGGACUCGCGGCUUAUCAGCUUGUUGGUGGGGUAGUGGCUUACCAAGGCUUUGACGGGUAGCCGGCCUGAGAGGGUGACCGGCCACAUGGGGACUGAGAUACGGCCCAGACUCCUACGGGAGGCAGCAGUGGGGAAUAUUGCACAAUGGGCGGAAGCCUGAUGCAGCAACGCCGCGUGCGGGAUGACGGCCUUCGGGUUGUAAACCGCUUUCGCCUGUGACGAAGCGUGAGUGACGGUAAUGGGUAAAGAAGCACCGGCUAACUACGUG
rnacentral:rRNA from 1 species